UACAGAGGGGGCAAGCGUUGUUCGGAAUUACUGGGCGUAAAGGGCGCGUAGGCGGCCUGCUAAGUCGAACGUGAAAUCCCCGAGCUCAACUCGGGAACUGCGUCCGAUACUGGCAGGCUUGAAUCCGGGAGAGGGAUGCGGAAUUCCAGGUGUAGCGGUGAAAUGCGUAGAUAUCUGGAGGAACACCGGUGGCGAAGGCGGCAUCCUGGACCGGUAUUGACGCUGAGGCGCGAAAGCCAGGGGAGCAAAGCGGG
rnacentral:rRNA from 1 species